rnacentral:rRNA from 1 species
ACGCUGGGCGGCGCGUUUUAAGCAUGCAAGUCGAGCGGCAAGGGCCUUCGGGCCCUAGAGCGGCGGACGGGUGAGUAACACGUGGACAAUCUCGGCCCCCCGGGCCCGGGAUAGCCCAGGGAAACCUGGAUUAAUACCGGAUGAGACGGGACCCGCGAUGGCGGGAUCCGGGAAAGGCGCUGCGGCGCCGCCGGGGGAUGAGUCUGCGUCCCAUUAGCUAGACGGCGGGGUAACGGCCCACCGUGGCGACGAUGGGUAGCCGGCCUGAGAGGGUGGACGGCCACAUUGGAACUGAGACACGGUCCAGACUCCUACGGGAGGCAGCAGCUAAGAAUCUUCCGCAAUGGGCGAAAGCCUGACGGAGCCGACGCCGCGUGAACGAAGAAGGCCGUGAGGUUGUAAAGUUCUUUUCGGGAGGGGGAACAACCGUGGCAGGGAAUGGCCGCGGGAUGACGUGAAUCCCGGAAUAAGCCCCGGCUAACUACGUGCCAGCCGCUGC